GRGAGUUGCAAAACUCCCUAAACCAUUGUGAACGUWACCUAUACCGUUGCUUCGGCGGGCGGCCCCGGGGUUUACCCCCCGGGCGCCCCCUGGGCCCCACCGMGGGCGCCCGYCGGAGGUCACCAAACUCUUGAUAAUYUAUGGCCUCUCUGAGUCUUCUGUACUGAAUAAGUCAAAACUUUCAACAACGGAUCUCUUGGUUCUGGCAUCGAUSAAGAACGCAGCKAAAUGCGAUAAGUAAUGUGAAUUGCAKAAUUCWGUGAAUCAUCGAAUCUUUGAACGCACAUUGCGCCCGCCAGCAUUCUGGCGGGCAUGCCUGUUCGAGCGUCAUUUCAACCAUCAAGCCCCCGGGCUUGUGUUGGGGACCUGCGGCUGCCGCAGGCCCUGAAAAGCAGUGGCGGGCUCGCUGUCGCACCGAGCGUAGUAGCAUACAUCUCGCUCUGGUCGCGCCGCGGGUUCCGGSCGUUAAACCACCUUUUAACCCAAGGUUGACCUCGGAUCAGGUAGGAAGACCCGCC
rnacentral:rRNA from 1 species